rnacentral:rRNA from 1 species
GGGUUGUGAGGUUAAGCGACUAAGCGUACACGGUGGAUGCCCUGGCAGUCAGAGGCGAUGAAGGACGUGCUAAUCUGCGAUAAGCGUCGGUAAGGUGAUAUGAACCGUUAUAACCGGCGAUUUCCGAAUGGGGAAACCCAGUGUGAUUCGUCACACUAUCAUUAACUGAAUCCAUAGGUUAAUGAGGCGAACCGGGGGAACUGAAACAUCUAAGUACCCCGAGGAAAAGAAAUCAACCGAGAUUCCCCCAGUAGCGGCGAGCGAACGGGGAGCAGCCCAGAGCCUGAAUCAGUGUGUGUGUUAGUGGAAGCGUCUGGAAAGGCGCGCGAUACAGGGUGACAGCCCCGUACACAAAAAUGCACAUACUGUGAGCUCGAUGAGUAGGGCGGGACACGUGGUAUCCUGUCUGAAUAUGGGGGGACCAUCCUCCAAGGCUAAAUACUCCUGACUGACCGAUAGUGAACCAGUACCGUGAGGGAAAGGCGAAAAGAACCCCGGCGAGGGGAGUGAAAAAGAACCUGAAACCGUGUACGUACAAGCAGUGGGAGCCUCUUUAUGGGGUGACUGCGUACCUUUUGUAUAAUGGGUCAGCGACUUAUAUUCUGUAGCAAGGUUAACCGAAUAGGGGAGCCGAAGGGAAACCGAGUCUUAACUGGGCGUUAAGUUGCAGGGUAUAGACCCGAAACCCGGUGAUCUAGCCAUGGGCAGGUUGAAGGUUGGGUAACACUAACUGGAGGACCGAACCGACUAAUGUUGAAAAAUUAGCGGAUGACUUGUGGCUGGGGGUGAAAGGCCAAUCAAACCGGGAGAUAGCUGGUUCUCCCCGAAAGCUAUUUAGGUAGCGCCUCGUGAAUUCAUCUCCGGGGGUAGAGCACUGUUUCGGCAAGGGGGUCAUCCCGACUUACCAACCCGAUGCAAACUGCGAAUACCGGAGAAUGUUAUCACGGGAGACACACGGCGGGUGCUAACGUCCGUCGUGAAGAGGGAAACAACCCAGACCGCCAGCUAAGGUCCCAAAGUCAUGGUUAAGUGGGAAACGAUGUGGGAAGGCCCAGACAGCCAGGAUGUUGGCUUAGAAGCAGCCAUCAUUUAAAGAAAGCGUAAUAGCUCACUGGUCGAGUCGGCCUGCGCGGAAGAUGUAACGGGGCUAAACCAUGCACCGAAGCUGCGGCAGCGACACUGUGUGUUGUUGGGUAGGGGAGCGUUCUGUAAGCCUGUGAAGGUGUGCUGUGAGGCAUGCUGGAGGUAUCAGAAGUGCGAAUGCUGACAUAAGUAACGAUAAAGCGGGUGAAAAGCCCGCUCGCCGGAAGACCAAGGGUUCCUGUCCAACGUUAAUCGGGGCAGGGUGAGUCGACCCCUAAGGCGAGGCCGAAAGGCGUAGUCGAUGGGAAACAGGUUAAUAUUCCUGUACUUGGUGUUACUGCGAAGGGGGGACGGAGAAGGCUAUGUUGGCCGGGCGACGGUUGUCCCGGUUUAAGCGUGUAGGCUGGUUUUCCAGGCAAAUCCGGAAAAUCAAGGCUGAGGCGUGAUGACGAGGCACUACGGUGCUGAAGCAACAAAUGCCCUGCUUCCAGGAAAAGCCUCUAAGCAUCAGGUAACAUUAAAUCGUACCCCAAACCGACACAGGUGGUCAGGUAGAGAAUACCAAGGCGCUUGAGAGAACUCGGGUGAAGGAACUAGGCAAAAUGGUGCCGUAACUUCGGGAGAAGGCACGCUGAUAUGUAGGUGAAGCGACUUGCUCGUGGAGCUGAAAUCAGUCGAAGAUACCAGCUGGCUGCAACUGUUUAUUAAAAACACAGCACUGUGCAAACACGAAAGUGGACGUAUACGGUGUGACGCCUGCCCGGUGCCGGAAGGUUAAUUGAUGGGGUUAGCGGUAACGCGAAGCUCUUGAUCGAAGCCCCGGUAAACGGCGGCCGUAACUAUAACGGUCCUAAGGUAGCGAAAUUCCUUGUCGGGUAAGUUCCGACCUGCACGAAUGGCGUAAUGAUGGCCAGGCUGUCUCCACCCGAGACUCAGUGAAAUUGAACUCGCUGUGAAGAUGCAGUGUACCCGCGGCAAGACGGAAAGACCCCGUGAACCUUUACUAUAGCUUGACACUGAACAUUGAGCCUUGAUGUGUAGGAUAGGUGGGAGGCUUUGAAGUGUGGACGCCAGUCUGCAUGGAGCCGGCCUUGAAAUACCACCCUUUAAUGUUUGAUGUUCUAACGUUGGCCCCUGACCGGGGUUGCGGACAGUGUCUGGUGGGUAGUUUGACUGGGGCGGUCUCCUCCUAAAGAGUAACGGAGGAGCACGAAGGUUGGCUAAUCCUGGUCGGACAUCAGGAGGUUAGUGCAAUGGCAUAAGCCAGCUUGACUGCGAGCGUGACGGCGCGAGCAGGUGCGAAAGCAGGUCAUAGUGAUCCGGUGGUUCUGAAUGGAAGGGCCAUCGCUCAACGGAUAAAAGGUACUCCGGGGAUAACAGGCUGAUACCGCCCAAGAGUUCAUAUCGACGGCGGUGUUUGGCACCUCGAUGUCGGCUCAUCACAUCCUGGGGCUGAAGUAGGUCCCAAGGGUAUGGCUGUUCGCCAUUUAAAGUGGUACGCGAGCUGGGUUUAGAACGUCGUGAGACAGUUCGGUCCCUAUCUGCCGUGGGCGCUGGAGAACUGAGGGGGGCUGCUCCUAGUACGAGAGGACCGGAGUGGACGCAUCACUGGUGUUCGGGUUGUCAUGCCAAUGGCACUGCCCGGUAGCUAAAUGCGGAAGAGAUAAGUGCUGAAAGCAUCUAAGCACGAAACUUGCCCCGAGAUGAGUUCUCCCUGACUCCUUGAGAGUCCUGAAGGAACGUUGAAGACGACGACGUUGAUAGGCCGGGUGUGUAAGCGCAGCGAUGCGUUGAGCUAACCGGUACUAAUGAACCGUGAGGCUUAACCUUACAACGCCGAAG